GGGUUGUGAGGUUAAGCGACUAAGCGUACACGGUGGAUGCCCUGGCAGUCAGAGGCGAUGAAGGGCGUGCUAAUCUGCGAUAAGCGCCGGUAAGGUGAUAUGAACCGUUAUAACCGGCGAUACCCGAAUGGGGAAACCCAGUGUGAUUCGUCACACUAUCAUUAACUGAAUCCAUAGGUUAAUGAGGCGAACCGGGGGAACUGAAACAUCUAAGUACCCCGAGGAAAAGAAAUCAACCGAGAUUCCCCCAGUAGCGGCGAGCGAACGGGGAGGAGCCCAGAGCCUGAAUCAGCAUGUGUGUUAGUGGAAGCGUCUGGAAAGGCGCGCGAUACAGGGUGACAGCCCCGUACACAAAAGCGCAUGUGCUGUGAGCUCGAUGAGUAGGGCGGGACACGUGGUAUCCUGUCUGAAUAUGGGGGGACCAUCCUCCAAGGCUAAAUACUCCUGACUGACCGAUAGUGAACCAGUACCGUGAGGGAAAGGCGAAAAGAACCCCGGCGAGGGGAGUGAAAAAGAACCUGAAACCGUGUACGUACAAGCAGUGGGAGCCCCACCACUAAGCCAGUGGUGAACUCCACAUCCGCAUCCUUUGCUGAGGAUACGGUUAACGGAGCGAAAGCGACGUUCAACCGCAAAACAAGCAGAGGGGGCUUAGUGGUGGGGUGACUGCGUACCUUUUGUAUAAUGGGUCAGCGACUUAUAUUCUGUAGCAAGGUUAACCGAAUAGGGGAGCCGGAGGGAAACCGAGUCUUAAUUGGGCGUUAAGUUGCAGGGUAUAGACCCGAAACCCGGUGAUCUAGCCAUGGGCAGGUUGAAGGUUGGGUAACACUAACUGGAGGACCGAACCGACUAAUGUUGAAAAAUUAGCGGAUGACCUGUGGCUGGGGGUGAAAGGCCAAUCAAACCGGGAGAUAGCUGGUUCUCCCCGAAAGCUAUUUAGGUAGCGCCUCGUGAAUUCAUCUCCGGGGGUAGAGCACUGUUUCGGCUAGGGGGCCAUCCCGGCUUACCAACCCGAUGCAAACUGCGAAUACCGGAGAAUGUUAUCACGGGAGACACACGGCGGGUGCUAACGUCCGUCGUGAAGAGGGAAACAACCCAGACCGCCAGCUAAGGUCCCAAAGUCAUGGUUAAGUGGGAAACGAUGUGGGAAGGCCCAGACAGCCAGGAUGUUGGCUUAGAAGCAGCCAUCAUUUAAAGAAAGCGUAAUAGCUCACUGGUCGAGUCGGCCUGCGCGGAAGAUGUAACGGGGCUAAACCAUGCACCGAAGCUGCGGCAGCGANUGCUGGAGGUAUCAGAAGUGCGAAUGCUGACAUAAGUAACGAUAAAGCGGGUGAAAAGCCCGCUCGCCGGAAGACCAAGGGUUCCUGUCCAACGUUAAUCGGGGCAGGGUGAGUCGACCCCUAAGGCGAGGCCGAAAGGCGUAGUCGAUGGGAAACGGGUUAAUAUUCCCGUACUUGGUGUUACUGCGAAGGGGGGACGGAGAAGGCUAUGUUGGCCGGGCGACGGUUGUCCCGGUUUAAGCGUGUAGGUGUGUGUUCCAGGUAAAUCCGGUUCACUUUAACACUGAGGCGUGACGACGAGGCACUACGGUGCUGAAGCAACAAAUGCCCUGCUUCCAGGAAAAGCCUCUAAGCAUCAGGUAACACGAAAUCGUACCCCAAACCGACACAGGUGGUCAGGUAGAGAAUACCAAGGCGCUUGAGAGAACUCGGGUGAAGGAACUAGGCAAAAUGGUGCCGUAACUUCGGGAGAAGGCACGCUGACACGUAGGUGAAGUGAUUUACUCACGGAGCUGAAGUCAGUCGAAGAUACCAGCUGGCUGCAACUGUUUAUUAAAAACACAGCACUGUGCAAACACGAAAGUGGACGUAUACGGUGUGACGCCUGCCCGGUGCCGGAAGGUUAAUUGAUGGGGUCAGCGUAAGCGAAGCUCCUGAUCGAAGCCCCGGUAAACGGCGGCCGUAACUAUAACGGUCCUAAGGUAGCGAAAUUCCUUGUCGGGUAAGUUCCGACCUGCACGAAUGGCGUAAUGAUGGCCAGGCUGUCUCCACCCGAGACUCAGUGAAAUUGAACUCGCUGUGAAGAUGCAGUGUACCCGCGGCAAGACGGAAAGACCCCGUGAACCUUUACUAUAGCUUGACACUGAACAUUGAGCCUUGAUGUGUAGGAUAGGUGGGAGGCUUUGAAGUGUGGACGCCAGUCUGCAUGGAGCCGACCUUGAAAUACCACCCUUUAAUGUUUGAUGUUCUAACGUGGACCCGUAAUCCGGGUUGCGGACAGUGUCUGGUGGGUAGUUUGACUGGGGCGGUCUCCUCCUAAAGAGUAACGGAGGAGCACGAAGGUUGGCUAAUCCUGGUCGGACAUCAGGAGGUUAGUGCAAUGGCAUAAGCCAGCUUGACUGCGAGCGUGACGGCGCGAGCAGGUGCGAAAGCAGGUCAUAGUGAUCCGGUGGUUCUGAAUGGAAGGGCCAUCGCUCAACGGAUAAAAGGUACUCCGGGGAUAACAGGCUGAUACCGCCCAAGAGUUCAUAUCGACGGCGGUGUUUGGCACCUCGAUGUCGGCUCAUCACAUCCUGGGGCUGAAGUAGGUCCCAAGGGUAUGGCUGUUCGCCAUUUAAAGUGGUACGCGAGCUGGGUUUAGAACGUCGUGAGACAGUUCGGUCCCUAUCUGCCGUGGGCGCUGGAGAACUGAGGGGGGCUGCUCCUAGUACGAGAGGACCGGAGUGGACGCAUCACUGGUGUUCGGGUUGUCAUGCCAAUGGCACUGCCCGGUAGCUAAAUGCGGAAGAGAUAAGUGCUGAAAGCAUCUAAGCACGAAACUUGCCCCGAGAUGAGUUCUCCCUGAGACUUAGAGUCUCCUGAAGGAACGUUGAAGACGACGACGUUGAUAGGCCGGGUGUGUAAGCGCAGCGAUGCGUUGAGCUAACCGGUACUAAUGAACCGUGAGGCUUAACCUUACAACGCCGAAG
rnacentral:rRNA from 1 species